rnacentral:rRNA from 1 species
GAUGAACGCUGGCGGCGUGCCUAAUACAUGCAAGUCGAGCGAACAGACGAGGAUCUUGCUCCUCUUACGUUAGCGGCGGACGGGUGAGUACCACGUGGAUAACCUACCUAUAAGACUGGGAUAACUUCGGGAAACCUGAGCUAAUACCGGAUAUUAUAUUGAACCUCAUGGUUCAAUAGUGAAAGCCGUUUUUGCUGUCACUUAUUGAUGUAUCCUCGCCGCAUUAGCUAGUUGGUAAGGUAACGGCUUACCAAGGCGACGAUGCGUAGCCGACCUGAGAGGGUGAUCGGCCACACUGGAACUGAGACACGGUCCAGACUCCUACGGGAGGCAGCAGUAGGGAAUAUUCCGCAAUGGGCGAAAGCCUGACGGAGCAACGCCGCGUGAGUGAUGAAGGUCUUCGGAUCGUAAAACUCUGUUAUUAGGGAAGAACAAAUGUGUAAGUAACUAUGCACGUCUUGACGGUACCAAAACAGAAAGCAACGGCUAACUACGUG